UAUAGAGAUAAUUUGUAUUUCCCGCGUUGUAUUGUACCGGAAAAAUGACACUCCGUCUCGUGCAGCUCCGCCGUCGCUCCCUCUCUUCACCUGCCGCACCACCGCAUCCACCGCCCUCCCCCCACCGACGCCGACGCCAACUUAUUCAAUUCCACAGUCCCCACCGCUAACUUGCGCACUUCACUCUCCUCACUUCCUGUCGUACGCUCCUCCUUUAAGAAAAAAUCUUUUUAAUUUAAUUUUUAUUUAUUUAUUUUUGUAGUGGGGUUGGAGGUGCCGGGCGAAAUUGGCCGUGCGUGGCUCUUCAACGGAGCCUCUCAUUGGGCUCUAUGAAGAGGGUACUCAUAACGUAGUUGACAUUCCACAAUGCCAAGCUGAUCAUCCUAAUAUUAAAGCUGCUGUGGAGCUGCUUAGACGGGGUAUUACUGAAUUAGGUGUUGAGCCAUUUAUUGAAGAUGAAGGUGCAGGUGAUUUGCAUGUCCAGAUGGCUGUGACAACAUACAACACAUCUCUUCCCACGGCUCAAAUAUGAAAGGUUCAGGUUACAUUGGUUUGGAAUUCAAGAAAUGAAAAUUCACCCGGUUCAGAUAAACUGAAUGCAUUGGUAAAUUUUCUAUGGAAAAAUGGUGGGCCACACAGCAGGCUUCAUUUAAUUCACUCUGUGUGGGCCAACUUUCAGACUUCUACUAACAAUAUAAUUUUUGGGGAUAAAUGGAAACAUCUUCUUGGAGAAAGAGAUUUUUGGGAACAUGUUGGUGGAAUUGAUGUAUCCUUGGCACCUUCUAGUUUUGGCCAGGCGAACACACUGUAAAGAUUCUAAUUUAGUAGAUCUUCAUAAUUUACAUGGCAAUCAGAUAAUGCAUUUAAUCUAUUUUGUAUCAGUUACUAUUGAAGCAUGGACACUAGACACAAAAUACACCCACCCACACACCAUAUUGUGUAAAUAAAUAAUCUUAAUAUGUACAUACAUAUUUAUAGUAUUGGUAUAUCAAAGAAUUAUAUGAAAAUAUAUCUAAAUUCUAAAAUAAGCUUAGCAUGUGCUAGAGGGCAAGCCUUGGUGAAAUAGUAAGGUUGUUACCUUGUGACAUGGAGGUCAUAGGUUGAAAUCUUGGAAGCAACCUCUCUAAGUGCAGGGGUAAGACUGUGUGCAUCUAUCCUCCCUAAAACCCAAUAGGUAGGAGCCGUGUGCACUAUGUCACCUUUUUACGCCAAGUAUGUGUUUAGAAAUAUUUCUUUAGGAUAGUUAAAAACAUAUUUAAGUGUCUUACUGGUGUCAACUAAUUUUCUUUCCAAGAGUAUUUAUAUUGAGGUCUCACUGUCUCAUCUCAGUGUGCUAAUGUGAGUAUUAUUGUCUGGUGUGUGUUGUACACAAUAGGU